UAUUUUUACUUAUUUUUCUAGAUAAAAUUUAGGAUCAGUUUAUCUAAGUCCAGAAGAAAAUGGUACUUAUUUAUAUUGGAAUGCCAUUUAAUUUAUAUGUUAACUUUUGGGAGUUCCUGUUGUGGCUCAGUGGUUAACUAAUUGACUAGAAACCAUGAGGUUGCAGGUUCAAUCCCUGGCCUUGCUCAGUGGGUUAAGGAUCCGGCAUUGCCCAUGAGCUAUGGUGUAGCUCACAGCAAUGCCAGAUCCUUAACCCAUUGAGCGAGACCAAGGAUCGAACCUGCGUCCUCAUGGAUACGAGUCAGAUUCAUUUCCGCCAAGCCACAACUGGGAUUCUGAGUUUUCUUUAACUCCUUGGGCCUAUGAUAAUGACAAUCACACCUUCUGAUGCUCUCUGCCCUUCUUUGUCUCUUUUUCUUUGACUUCCACAAUAAAAAACUGUGUUAACCAAUACUCCAUUUGUGGCCCCAUACAUUACCUGAGGUGCCUCAUCUACUUCUCUAGUCACCAACCCUAACAAACAUUAAGUUGUGUUUUCAAACCUGAUGCGGUUUUCCUACACAUCACUUAUUAAAUCCAUUCAAUUCCCAUACUCCAUUAAACAAAACAUUAUGUAACCAAAAUCCAUCAGCUUUCAUACCCUACUCAGCAAAAUAAAAGCCUGUCAGACAAACACCAGUCUCAAGCAUUCUUCUCAGAGAGAUUCAAUUCCUCUUGCCUUCACAAGAAUAUAAAUGAUAAUAACCACCACUAAUUGAAUGUUUACCAUAAUUCCAUGUGUUUUGCAUGCAGAAAAUCUUUUAAUCUUUUAAAUAAAUAUUUGAUGGGGAAGUUGUGGCUUAGAAAGGUUUAAUAAUUUCUUCAACUUUACACAUACUAAAUGUUGAAUGGGGAAUUAAAACUCAGGCUUCUGAAUCUGGUACUUGCCUUCAUACUGAUCUCCUGAAGGCCUCAAAACCACAGUAAACCAGAUAUUUCAGUAUCUAAAACCAGUGAUCGAUAACCCUCAAAGGUAUCUCUUCUUUUUCUCUCAGUUCCUCUCCCAAUUUGUGUUAUCUCUAUCUGCCUAGCAUCCUGAGAAAAUACCUUGCACCCCCAGAUUCAUUUCUUAUUCCCAUUUCCAAUUAUUAACCAAACAUUUUUUUUCCAUCUACCCAGCCAGGUCCUCCCCAUUUUUAUCACCUAGGCCUCAUAUUAGGAUUUUUCCGUGGCUUGGUGGAAAGGUUCAGGAAGAAAUGUGGAUCUUAAACUCAAUGUUAAUGCAUACUUGGAAGCUGCAUACUCAAAAAUCAUUUCCUCAGGGCUUCCAAAGUAUCAAGCACAGUGUUAGGUCCUGGGUAGAGGUCAUAUUUGAGGACAUGAAGGAAGAUGAAUGAAAAAUUGUUGACAGAAGAAAGGUCUGAGAUGAUGGCCAAUAUGACCAAAUUUGUUUUCAAUGCCUCUCUCUCUUUCUUCCUUCCUUAUUGUGAUUCAUUCCAUCUAUUCAAUAAAUAUUUACUGACAAUCACUGUACUGUACACCAGGGAAUAUGACCUAGGCUGAGUAUAUAGUGAUGACUGAGUCAAAGUUCAGACCCUCAUGGAGCUCAGUUAAGAGAUGUAAAAUAAUUAUAAUGCAGUCAACAAUGUGUCUACAUAGUAGAUACUAUGAAGGAAACAAUGGUGAG
rnacentral:lncRNA from 1 species